rnacentral:rRNA from 2 species
AGACCCGAAACCCGGUGAUCUAGCCAUGGGCAGGUUGAAGGUUGGGUAACACUAACUGGAGGACCGAACCGACUAAUGUUGAAAAAUUAGCGGAUGACCUGUGGCUGGGGGUGAAAGGCCAAUCAAACCGGGAGAUAGCUGGUUCUCCCCGAAAGCUAUUUAGGUAGCGCCUCGUGAAUUCAUCUCCGGGGGUAGAGCACUGUUUCGGCUAGGGGGCCAUCCCGGCUUACCAACCCGAUGCAAACUGCGAAUACCGGAGAAUGUUAUCACGGGAGACACACGGCGGGUGCUAACGUCCGUCGUGAAGAGGGAAACAACCCAGACCGCCAGCUAAGGUCCCAAAGUCAUGGUUAAGUGGGAAACGAUGUGGGAAGGCCCAGACAGCCAGGAUGUUGGCUUAGAAGCAGCCAUCAUUUAAAGAAAGCGUAAUAGCUCACUGGUCGAGUCGGCCUGCGCGGAAGAUGUAACGGGGCUAAACCAUGCACCGAAGCUGCGGCAGCGACGCUUAUGCGUUGUUGGGUAGGGGAGCGUUCUGUAAGCCUGUGAAGGUGUGUCGUGAGGCAUGCUGGAGGUAUCAGAAGUGCGAAUGCUGACAUAAGUAACGAUAAAGCGGGUGAAAAGCCCGCUCGCCGGAAGACCAAGGGUUCCUGUCCAACGUUAAUCGGGGCAGGGUGAGUCGACCCCUAAGGCGAGGCCGAAAGGCGUAGUCGAUGGGAAACGGGUUAAUAUUCCCGUACUUGGUGUUACUGCGAAGGGGGGACGGAGAAGGCUAUGUUGGCCGGGCGACGGUUGUCCCGGUUUAAGCGUGUAGGUGUGUGUUCCAGGUAAAUCCGGUUCACUUUAACACUGAGGCGUGACGACGAGGCACUACGGUGCUGAAGCAACAAAUGCCCUGCUUCCAGGAAAAGCCUCUAAGCAUCAGGUAACAUCAAAUCGUACCCCAAACCGACACAGGUGGUCAGGUAGAGAAUACCAAGGCGCUUGAGAGAACUCGGGUGAAGGAACUAGGCAAAAUGGUGCCGUAACUUCGGGAGAAGGCACGCUGACACGUAGGUGAAGUGAUUUACUCAUGGAGCUGAAGUCAGUCGAAGAUACCAGCUGGCUGCAACUGUUUAUUAAAAACACAGCACUGUGCAAACACGAAAGUGGACGUAUACGGUGUGACGCCUGCCCGGUGCCGGAAGGUUAAUUGAUGGGGUCAGCGCAAGCGAAGCUCCUGAUCGAAGCCCCGGUAAACGGCGGCCGUAACUAUAACGGUCCUAAGGUAGCGAAAUUCCUUGUCGGGUAAGUUCCGACCUGCACGAAUGGCGUAAUGAUGGCCAGGCUGUCUCCACCCGAGACUCAGUGAAAUUGAACUCGCUGUGAAGAUGCAGUGUACCCGCGGCAAGACGGAAAGACCCCGUGAACCUUUACUAUAGCUUGACACUGAACAUUGAGCCUUGAUGUGUAG